GUCAAGCAGAAUUGAAGAAGGUGGUGGGAUUGUCAUUUAUUUCCAACCCCCGAUUCAGCAAACAGUUGGUUUCUGCGGUCAAUGUCAAUGAACAAGGCCCCUGGUUGAAAAGACUGAAAUAAGUGAUGAACUGACACAAAAUUAAAAACCAAGGAGCUGUUGGCACAGAGUCCCCAUCUCGACUUGCCAAUCCAUUCUGUGAAAGCAGAGAACUGGGAUCUUGUAAAAUCAUGGAAGGAAGAAAAGCUGCAACCAAAGUGGACUGGACCCUACCUUGCGUUAUUAAUCACCGAGACAGCAGUACGAACAAAAGAAAAAGGGUGGACACACGCAAACCGAUUUAAGGGUCCUGUGGAGGCCCCACCGGACAAUAUCAGCCCGUAGACUGUGCGUGAAGGGAAGGAACCAUUGACUUUGUGCCUAUUCGGAUGUUGUAUUAUUCCCUGCGCUGGCCUUCAGAACACAGUAUGACUAGCGAGAGGAGGAUAGGGAGGCGAAGAAUCUGCUGCUAGCACUAGAAAAGGAAGAUAUAGUAUAAUUCAAAAGAUGCGUAGCAAAAAGAAAAAUGGUGGAUUGUGAGAGAAGGGUUAAUAGGGAUGGUUGAAUUAUACUAGAACUCUGAAAAAUAUAACUUAGAAAGAAAUGAGCUUAUCCGCAGAAGCCAGACUGCUGGUAGAAUAAAGUAACAAUAUACAGAACAGAGAGAAAUUCUAGAUAAAAAGUAGCAAACAGAUAACAACUUCAGCAGAAGGCCUUGGGAGUCUUGACGUCAGGAAAUGGUCCGAGACAUUCCUGGACUUUCUCGUGUGAAUGUGGGCUUUAUGUUAUGAUUGGACGAAACUCGAUGGGGAGACCUGAGGUAGUGACCACAGUGAAGAAGGGUAUAAAGAUAGAAAGCAUCUCCAUUUUCUUUGUGCCUCCAGGGGACAUCAGAGGAGAGACACCUAUUCUGCAGAAUAUGAAAUUAAUAAAAACACUUCUUUGUCUGAA